rnacentral:rRNA from 1 species
AUUGAACGCUGGCGGCAGGCCUAACACAUUCAAGUCGAGCGGAUGAAGGUAGCUUGCUCCUGUAUUCAGCGUCGGACGGGUGUGUAAUUCCUAGGAAUCUGCCUGGUAGUGGGUGAUAACGUCCGUAAACGGGCGCUAAUACCGCAUACGUCCUGAGGUAGAAAGUGUUUUAUCUUCGUACCUCACGCUAUCUGAUGUGCCUAGUUCGUAUUAGCUAGUUGGUGGGGUAAAGGCCUACCAAGGCGACGAUCCGUAACUGGUCUGAGAGGAUGAUCAGUCAAAAGGGAAGGGAGAAACGGAAAAGAGGAAUAAGGGAGGAAGCAGAGGGGAAUAUUGGAAAAUGGGCGAAAGAAUGAUAAAGCAAUGCAGCGUGUGAGAAGAAGGUCGUAGGAUUGUAAAGCAAUUUAAGGUGGGAGGAAGGGAAGUAAGAUAAAAACUUGCUGUUUUGACGUUAAAAACAGAAAAAGCAAGGGCUAACUACGUG